rnacentral:rRNA from 1 species
GUGGGGAAUAUUGGACAAUGGGCGAAAGCCUGAUCCAGCCAUGCCGCGUGUGUGAAGAAGGUCUUCGGAUUGUAAAGCACUUUAAGUUGGGAGGAAGGGCAUUAACCUAAUACGUUAGUGUUUUGACGUUACCGACAGAAUAAGCACCGGCUAACUUCGUGCCAGCAGCCGCGGUAAUACGAAGGGUGCAAGCGUUAAUCGGAAUUACUGGGCGUAAAGCGCGCGUAGGUGGUUCGUUAAGUUGGAUGUGAAAGCUCCGGGCUCAACCUGGGAACUGCAUCCAAAACUGGCGAGCUAGAGUACGGUAGAGGGUGGUGGAAUUUCCUGUGUAGCGGUGAAAUGCGUAGAUAUAGGAAUGAACACCAGUGGCGAAGGCGACCACCUGGACUGAUACUGACACUGAGGUGCGAAAGCGUGGGGAGCAAACAGGAUUAGAAACCCGGGUAGUCC